rnacentral:rRNA from 1 species
UACGAAGGGGGCUAGCGUUGCUCGGAAUUACUGGGCGUAAAGCGCACGUAGGCGGAUUGUUAAGUCGGGGGUGAAAUCCUGGAGCUCAACUCCAGAACUGCCUUCGAUACUGGCGAUCUCGAGUUCGGGAGAGGUGAGUGGAACUGCGAGUGUAGAGGUGAAAUUCGUAGAUAUCGAGAGGAACACCGGUGGCGAAGGCGGCCAACUGGACGAAUACUGACGCUGAGACUCGAAAGCGUGGGGAGCAAACAGG